CUCGCUUGUUUUCAUGUGCGCUUAUUAGCUUGUUGCCUUAUUAGCUUGUAGUGAACUAGCUUGUUUUUCGGGUGUGCUCAGUAGCUUGCUAGCGUGCUACCGGCUCUCGACAGGGCAUUGAAACGCGUCACAUCCCGACAGGUUGUUCCCCCGAUGUGGUUGGGGGUGCAGAGCUGGCUCCGCCCCUCGGGCCGCCCACCUUGCUGAGCAGGUGACUCAGGGCGUCCCUCAUGCGGUCGUGGCGCAUGUAGAAGCAGACCAGCGCCAGGUGCGUCCCGUAGGAGGUCAGGUAGUGCAGCGCCUCCUGGUGGAGCCUUGGGUCCGGGCGGGGGUCCGGGCGCUCCGCCGCGCCCGGGUCAGACAGGACCUCCUCCAGCUCCCGUAGCGACGCCAGGAUGUCCUCGCUGAACGGCUGAGGGAGGCACGCGCACGGAGACAGGCAAACGCACGCACGGACUGAAUGUCUAAAGGUUCCUUAUGGAACAACACGGACACCAUCAGUCUCACGGUGCCAGGGGCGGCCAGAGACAUUGGAGCACCGGGGGCAACCGACUGCAAGGGGCCCCACAGAGCCCCGCCCCCAUAGAGCCCCGCCCCCAUAGAGCCCCGCCCCCAACAUGAGAGACACUAAACAAUAGUCUUGUUUUUAUGUCAAUUUCUUUACUUUACCUUCACACCU
ensembl:lncRNA